CCUACGGGAGGCAGCAGUGGGGAAUAUUGCACAAUGGGGGAAACCCUGAUGCCGCGACGCCGCGUGAGUGAAGCAGUAUUUCGGUAUGUAAAGCUCUAUCAGCAGGGAAGAAAAUGACGGUACCUAAUUAAGAAGCCCCGGCUAACUACGUGCCAGCAGCCGCGGUAAUACGUAGGGGGCACGCGUUAACCGGAUUUACUGGGUGGAAAGGGAGCGUAGACGGCAGGACAAGUCUGGAGUGAAAUGCCGGGGCUUAACCACGGAACUGCUUUGGAAACUGUGCAGCUAGAGUGCAGGAGAGGGAAGUGGAAUUCCUAGUGUAGCGGUGAAAUGCGUAGAUAUUAGGAGGAACACCAGUGGCGAAGGCGGCUUACUGGACUGUAACUGACGUUGAGGUUCGAAAGCGUGGGGAGCAAACAGGAUUAGAUACCCUUGUAGUC
rnacentral:rRNA from 1 species